UUGCCGGCGUUAAGCCGGAGGAAGGUGGGGACGACGUCAAGUCCUCAUGGCCCUUAUGUCCAGGGCUACACACGUGCUACAAUGGUCGGUACAGAGCGCAGCCAACCCGCGAGGGUGAGCAAAUCGCAAAGAGCCGGCCUCAGUACGGAUUGCACUCUGCAACUCGAGUGCAUGAAGGCGGAAUCGCUAGUAAUCGCUGAUCAGCAGGCAGCGGUGAAUACGUUCCCGGGCCUUGUACACACCGCCCGUCACACCAUGGGAGUUGAUUGCUCCAGAAGUGGCUGAGCUAACCCGCAAGGGAAGCAGGUCCCCAAGGAGUGGUUGAUAACUGGGGUGAAGUCGUAACAAGGUAGCCGUAGGGGAACCUGCGGCUGGAUCACCUCCUUUCUACGGAGCACGUCCGGUGAGUAACAGCUCUCUUUUGAGCUGUUUUACUUCACCAACGCUUCGGUCAAACCCUCGGUACUGGCACUGCCAAGGCAGUGCGUCGUCAGGAUUCCGGCUCAGUUUUCAGGGACUGUAAACCCUGAAAACCGUGAGCUUUUUGGUGGCUGCACUGGGCCUGUAGCUCAGGUGGUUAGAGCGCACCCCUGAUAAGGGUGAGGUCGCUAGUUCGAGUCUAGCCAGGCCCACCCGGAGUCGAGUUCAUCUCGGCACAGGAACCCUUUCGGGGGUAACGCGAUAACCGUGGUCACCAAAGCUCGUUUGAAAUUAGAUAAGAGAAGAGCAAUAGCGUUCCAAGUAGCGCUCGANAGAAACGGGGUAUGCAUCCUCGGUUCACUUCAUGUGAUCCCGUGUUGUUGCUUUGAAACCCUGUUUUUCGAGAGUCGAGCCGUUGUCUUNAGGGAUNAGGUCAAGCUACUUAAGGGGCGUUACGGNUGGAAUGCCUUUGGCAAANGGNCNAAUUUCUGUCAAANUAUCCCUUCACNACUGGGCGGCCCGCUUCNANCAUGCCAUNUUAAUANGGNCCCNAAAUUCNCCCCUUNAUANUGGANGUCNNNAUUANAAAUUUCANUGGGCCGUCGUUUUUACAACCGUCCUGGANUGGGGAAAAACCCCUGGCNGUUUCCCCAAACUUANUUGNCUUUNUNAAAAANANUCCCCCUUUUCCCCAA
rnacentral:misc_RNA from 1 species